rnacentral:rRNA from 1 species
UACGGGGGGGGCAAGCGUUGUUCGGAAUUACUGGGCGUAAAGGGCUCGUAGGUGGCCAACUAAGUCAGACGUGAAAUCCCUCGGCUUAACCGGGGAACUGCGUCUGAUACUGGAUGGCUUGAGUUUGGGAGAGGGGCGCGGAAUUCCAGGUGUAGCGGUGAAAUGCGUAGAUAUCUGGAGGAACACCGGUGGCGAAGGCGGCGUCCUGGACCAACACUGACACUGAGGAGCGAAAGCCAGGGGAGCGAACCGG